AAAGCUUUAAGUUAUAAAAACUAUCAGCCUUCAAAGCUGAAAAAAUAAAAAGUUAUAAGCUUUA
rnacentral:tRNA from 1 species